GACGAACGCUGGCGGCGUGCUUAACACAUGCAAGUCGAACGAACAGGCCCUGCGCUUGCGCCUUUCUCGUUUGCCGCGGGGGUGAGUAACACGUGUGUAUACCGCACCUGUCUUUGGGGUAACAUUUGGGGACUGGGGCUCUAAUCCGAUAUAAUAUCUUGAUGCAUGGGGUUGGUUGGAAAAUUUCGGCGGUGGGGGAUGGACUCGCGGCUUAUCAGCUUGUUGGUGGGGUAGUGGCUUACAAAGGCUUCGAAGGGUAGCCGGCAUGAGAGGGUGAACGGCCACAUUGGGACUGAGAGACGGCCCAGACUCCUACGGGAGGCAGCAGUGGGGAAUAUUGCACAAUGGGCGGAAGCCUGAUGCAGAAACGCCGCGUGCGGGAUGACGGCCUUCGGGUUGUAAACCGCUUUCGCCUGUGACGAAGCGUGAGUGACGGUAAUGGGUAAAGAAGCACCGGCUAACUACGUG
rnacentral:rRNA from 1 species